rnacentral:sRNA from 1 species
AAUAAUAAUCAAUAAUAUUGUUCUUGACAUAUAAUUUUGAAUAGUAAAUUAGUAGUCUUAUGCAUUUUAUUUUAGAGAUAAGUUGGAGAGUAGGCAGUUUUUGCAAAAAUAAUUUGAGGAAUGAGUACUUUUUUUAGAAAUAGGAGGAAUAAGUACUUUUAUCUCUCCUCUCUAAUAGAACUCCCCCUCUAAUACAGCUUUUAGUAAAGUACUAUUUUACCCUUCUGUUGUUUUGAUGAAAUAAACUGGGCCUCAUUAAAACGAGCCCAAUAUCAUCUCCAAUUUUGAAUUGCUCAUGGGCUUGACAUCAACUAAAACCCAUAUUUUCUUAAGUCAUUGAAACCAAACACACUCAUAAACCCUCGUCGUCGACAUCUUCAUUUGUACGGUAAAGACCUCGUCGUUGUCAUAGAAGGAUAAACCCUCGUCGUUUGCCAAAUUCAUAGAUACAUUGUCAAUUUCAUACCAGAUGGAAGGUAUGUUUAUCAUAAAAUGCUUUAAAGUGUAUGAUUUUUUGCCUUCAGCCAACUAUUAACUAUGACUCUGUUUUCGUUUUUUCAGGGGACGAAUCAUGCGUCUCCAUGGUCGGCUGCUGGAUUUGCUACUCGAAUGGUUGGUGGGACUUCAAAGUUGAUAAAACUAGGCCAAGAAAGUGUAUUAACUGCGGAAAAAUUGACACUUUCAAAUCCCUUGAAGAAGUUAUCCGGCGAAGAUUCUCGAUGGUUGUUAACGACGUGUUUGUUGAGAUGUCAUACUCGGCUGAUGACGUUUUGGUGAGGCUCAAUGGUCAGGAAACAGCUCCGACGGAAAUCCAAGAUGAUUGGUCUUUUAUAAUGUUCAAGUCUCUUCUAAGGUCUGACAGUUCUGUGAAUCUUUUUGUCACCUUUAAGAGAGUGGUAGACAAUAAGCUUGAGUUCCUAGAUCCCCUUGAAAUUGUUGUUCCGCCUUACAACAGAGGCUUCCCACUGAUACAAGGUGAUAACACUGUGAAGGAGUUGCAACCCUUUAUUUUUGGUGUUCCUGAUAAAACGAGCGUACACCAUGAAAAUGGGUUUGACGUACACCAGGAACUUGAACAUUCUGUUCGAGAACCAAAUCCAGUUUCAGACAUCAGUAGCCCAACUGGAGAUGUCCGAGACCUGGUCAUUUGGGAUGGUACUGUUGAUAACUCACUAAUAGCUCACAUUGAAGAAAUUGAAGCUCAGUUAAAAGAUGAAAAUCCACAAAAAGACGUUGUUGAUGAUAGUGAAAGCAAUGAUGAUUUUAAUGAGUUCAGUGAAGAAGACGAUGAUCCAGACUAUCAAUCUGGAUCAGAAGAGGAUGAAGAUGAUGAUGUCUGGACUGAGAAAGUUUUAGACGAGAAUGUGGCGUUGGAUGAUGAUUUCACAGAUCCCCCUCUAAGGAAGGUACAAAACUAUAGUUACCUUCUUCGUGAAAUGGAUGAUUUUGUCAACCCUCCUCUGUUGGUAGACAACCCUCUUCUGUCUCCUAUCCAAGUUAAGAGGAGAAAAGUCUCACUAAAAGAGUUGUCCUCCAAUUAGAAGAAAGAACAGGCGGCAGCCUUAAAGAGAGGGAUAACAUUGUGUGAAAUAUAUGACUUUGAAGACAUUGAACCAAUGUUCAUUGACAGUGACUCACCCGAUUUCAGAGGUCAUAACAUUGAUCUUUCUAAAGAAGACAAUGUUAUAUUUAAAGGAAGGGUUUUUGAAACCAAGGACGAGUUCAAAGUGUCACUGUCUAUUUAUGCAAUCAAUCAAAUUUUUCGGUU